rnacentral:rRNA from 1 species
CCUUUUGUAUAAUGGGUCAGCGACUUAUAUUCUGUAGCAAGGUUAACCGAAUAGGGGAGCCGAAGGGAAACCGAGUCUUAACUGGGCGUUAAGUUGCAGGGUAUAGACCCGAAACCCGGUGAUCUAGCCAUGGGCAGGUUGAAGGUUGGGUAACACUAACUGGAGGACCGAACCGACUAAUGUUGAAAAAUUAGCGGAUGACUUGUGGCUGGGGGUGAAAGGCCAAUCAAACCGGGAGAUAGCUGGUUCUCCCCGAAAGCUAUUUAGGUAGCGCCUCGUGAAUUCAUCUCCGGGGGUAGAGCACUGUUUCGGCAAGGGGGUCAUCCCGACUUACCAACCCGAUGCAAACUGCGAAUACCGGAGAAUGUUAUCACGGGAGACACACGGCGGGUGCUAACGUCCGUCGUGAAGAGGGAAACAACCCAGACCGCCAGCUAAGGUCCCAAAGUCAUGGUUAAGUGGGAAACGAUGUGGGAAGGCCCAGACAGCCAGGAUGUUGGCUUAGAAGCAGCCAUCAUUUAAAGAAAGCGUAAUAGCUCACUGGUCGAGUCGGCCUGCGCGGAAGAUGUAACGGGGCUAAACCAUGCACCGAAGCUGCGGCAGCGACACUAUGUGUUGUUGGGUAGGGGAGCGUUCUGUAAGCCUGUGAAGGUGUGCUGUGAGGCAUGCUGGAGGUAUCAGAAGUGCGAAUGCUGACAUAAGUAACGAUAAAGCGGGUGAAAAGCCCGCUCGCCGGAAGACCAAGGGUUCCUGUCCAACGUUAAUCGGGGCAGGGUGAGUCGACCCCUAAGGCGAGGCCGAAAGGCGUAGUCGAUGGGAAACAGGUUAAUAUUCCUGUACUUGGUGUUACUGCGAAGGGGGGACGGAGAAGGCUAUGUUGGCCGGGCGACGGUUGUCCCGGUUUAAGCGUGUAGGCUGGUUUUCCAGGCAAAUCCGGAAAAUCAAGGCUGAGGCGUGAUGACGAGGCACUACGGUGCUGAAGCAACAAAUGCCCUGCUUCCAGGAAAAGCCUCUAAGCAUCAGGUAACAUCAAAUCGUACCCCAAACCGACACAGGUGGUCAGGUAGAGAAUACCAAGGCGCUUGAGAGAACUCGGGUGAAGGAACUAGGCAAAAUGGUGCCGUAACUUCGGGAGAAGGCACGCUGAUAUGUAGGUGAGGUCCCUCGCGGAUGGAGCUGAAAUCAGUCGAAGAUACCAGCUGGCUGCAACUGUUUAUUAAAAACACAGCACUGUGCAAACACGAAAGUGGACGUAUACGGUGUGACGCCUGCCCGGUGCCGGAAGGUUAAUUGAUGGGGUUAGCGCAAGCGAAGCUCUUGAUCGAAGCCCCGGUAAACGGCGGCCGUAACUAUAACGGUCCUAAGGUAGCGAAAUUCCUUGUCGGGUAAGUUCCGACCUGCACGAAUGGCGUAAUGAUGGCCAGGCUGUCUCCACCCGAGACUCAGUGAAAUUGAACUCGCUGUGAAGAUGCAGUGUACCCGCGGCAAGACGGAAAGACCCCGUGAACCUUUACUAUAGCUUGACACUGAACAUUGAGCCUUGAUGUGUAGGAUAGGUGGGAGGCUUAGAAGUGUGGACGCCAGUCUGCAUGGAGCCGACCUUGAAAUACCACCCUUUAAUGUUUGAUGUUCUAACGUUGACCCGUAAUCCGGGUUGCGGACAGUGUCUGGUGGGUAGUUUGACUGGGGCGGUCUCCUCCUAAAGAGUAACGGAGGAGCACGAAGGUUGGCUAAUCCUGGUCGGACAUCAGGAGGUUAGUGCAAUGGCAUAAGCCAGCUUGACUGCGAGCGUGACGGCGCGAGCAGGUGCGAAAGCAGGUCAUAGUGAUCCGGUGGUUCUGAAUGGAAGGGCCAUCGCUCAACGGAUAAAAGGUACUCCGGGGAUAACAGGCUGAUACCGCCCAAGAGUUCAUAUCGACGGCGGUGUUUGGCACCUCGAUGUCGGCUCAUCACAUCCUGGGGCUGAAGUAGGUCCCAAGGGUAUGGCUGUUCGCCAUUUAAAGUGGUACGCGAGCUGGGUUUAGAACGUCGUGAGACAGUUCGGUCCCUAUCUGCCGUGGGCGCUGGAGAACUGAGGGGGGCUGCUCCUAGUACGAGAGGACCGGAGUGGACGCAUCACUGGUGUUCGGGUUGUCAUGCCAAUGGCACUGCCCGGUAGCUAAAUGCGGAAGAGAUAAGUGCUGAAAGCAUCUAAGCACGAAACUUGCC